rnacentral:tRNA from 1 species
GGGGAAAUAGCUCAGUUGGUAGAGUGCUUGCCUUGCAUGCACAAGGCCCUGGGUUCAAUCCCCAGCACCA